CUUUCCUUAAUAGAAACUUCUCAUAAGUUAGGUAAAGGUGUAGACUAUAUAAAAGAUAAGAUGGGUUACAUUAAGAAAUACUAAAGGAUAAUCAUUCAAAUAUUUUUGGAAAAAGGAUUUAUUAGUAAUAUUAAAAGAUUAAUUAUAAAUGAAAUUGACAAAUAUGUGCACAUAUCGCCC
rnacentral:rRNA from 1 species